CUCCAGGUUCACCAGAGGAAACGCCACAGAAUGCUUCUCCUGCUGCCGGCCGCUCUGUGCUGUCUGUGUUCAGCGCUGGUCACCACGGCAACACAGCUGACCCAGGACAAGUUGUUCCUGAGCAAAGGAGUGGAGAAAUCGGUUUCAAUGAGCUGUGGUGGGACAGAGCAGUGUGAUGAAAAAAAGCUUUACUGGUUCCAGAAGAAACACGGACAACCAUUCGAAAUGAUCCUCCAGUACAACUUAGAAAGUGAAAAAUCCAAAAAUCGCAACGACCAUCCUGACAAAGACGACUUCAGCAUCUUGAAGACAGACAGUGGUAUUAAUCUGAUCAUAGCGACGACAAAAGCUGCCCAUUCAGCCACCUACUACUGUGCCUGUUAUAAAGAAGUUCCCCACAGUGAGAAAGAAUGGCGCUAACCUGAACAAAAACCUCCAGAUAUUCAACAGGAUGAAAAACCACAAUCACAUAUUUCUACUUCAUAUCAGAUGUACAAGCAGUGAUCUGAGAGCAGUUUGAAGA